AGACUACACAUGCAGUCGAGCGGAGAAGGGAGCUUGCUCCUGGAUUCAGCGGCGGACGGGUGAGUAAUGCCUAGGAAUCUGCCUGGUAGUGGGGGAUAACGUCCGGAAACGGGCGCUAAUACCGCAUACGUCCUGAGGGAGAAAGUGGGGGAUCUUCGGACCUCACGCUAUCAGAUGAGCCUAGGUCGGAUUAGCUAGUUGGUGGGGUAAAGGCCUACCAAGGCGACGAUCCGUAACUGGUCUGAGAGGAUGAUCAGUCACACUGGAACUGAGACACGGUCCAGACUCCUACGGGAGGCAGCAGUGGGGAAUAUUGGACAAUGGGCGAAAGCCUGAUCCAGCCAUGCCGCGUGUGUGAAGAAGGUCUUCGGAUUGUAAAGCACUUUAAGUUGGGAGGAAGGGCAGUAAGUUAAUACCUUGCUGUUUUGACGUUACCAACAGAAUAAGCACCGGCUAACUUCGUGCCAGCAGCCGCGGUAAUACGAAGGGUGCAAGCGUUAAUCGGAAUUACUGGGCGUAAAGCGCGCGUAGGUGGUUCAGCAAGUUGGAUGUGAAAUCCCCGGGCUCAACCUGGGAACUGCAUCCAAAACUACUGAGCUAGAGUACGGUAGAGGGUGGUGGAAUUUCCUGUGUAGCGGUGAAAUGCGUAGAUAUAGGAAGGAACACCAGUGGCGAAGGCGACCACCUGGACUGAUACUGACACUGAGGUGCGAAAGCGUGGGGGAGCAAACAGGAUUAGAUACCCUGGUAGUCCACGCCGUAAACGAUGUCGACUAGCCGUUGGGGAUCCUUGAGAUCUUAGUGGCGCAGCUAACGCGAUAAGUCCGACCGCCUGGGGGAGUACGGGCCGCAAAGGUUUAAAAACUUCA
rnacentral:rRNA from 1 species